rnacentral:ncRNA from 1 species
UUUUUACACAGGCAUUUAUUGCGCUGUAUACGUGGGUAGCUGAAUUAACGUUUAAGCGGCGUGUUCCGUCGCCAGCCUCACGGUUAGGAAGGCCGCGUUUAGCGGCUUUUCCUAUAGUUAG